GGUACCGUCAAGCUCCCUCACGAGGGAGUGUUUCUUCCCGUAUAAAAGCAGUUUACAAUCCAUAGGACCGUCUUCCUGCACGCGGCAUGGCUGGGUCAGGCUUGCGCCCAUUGCCCAAUAUUCCUCACUGCUGCCUCCCGUAGGAGUA
rnacentral:rRNA from 1 species